GCCAGGUGUGGUGGUGUACAUCUGUAAUCCCAGCGGUUCGGGAGGCUGAGGCAGGAGGAUCAUGAGUUCAAAGCCAGCCUCAGCAAAAGUGAGGUGCUAAGCAACUCAGUGAGACCCUGUCUCUA
rnacentral:sRNA from 1 species